UCGUUCUUCCUUUAUUGUCUUUAUAUCAGCGGCGAUUUCAGUUAACUGUUUGGCAAGGCCCGAAAGGUCAGGCCCGGGAUUUGUCUCGACAUCUCCGGCAAGCAAUACCAACUUUGCAAGGUACACCAUGUCAUACAGAGAAUCGAGAAGCACCGUAGGGCACGGCAGCACGACGAGACAGCGCUCACUAGAGCGAAAACAUUUUCCAAAACGUCUUCUUACCUGCAUAAAGAAGACAAGCGGGUGAGCCAUCUGCGUGCAAGCCCUGCUGCCGUGCCCUUUGGGAUGUGCUGGGUCGUCGCCGGGUUUUAUGCUCCGGGUAAGGUGAGGGGCCGUGCUGGAUGGCUUCAAGAAUCUUCUUCCGCUGGAGGUAGACGAUGACGGGUUCCCUUCCGCAAAUGGUAGGAAAGGAAACGACGAAAAGGUGUCGUUCUGAAGCACAUGCGCGUCGAGAAUCACGAAAGGCUGAUUUGGUUCUUGGUGUUCCGCUGGUAUCAGCAGCAGGCUGGCAAUAAUCUGCAUAAAGAAGACAAGCGGGUGAGCCAUCUGCGUGCAAGCCCUGCUGCCGUGCCCUUUGGGAUGUGCUGGGUCGUCGCCGGCUUUUAUGCUCCGGGUAAGGUGAGGGGCCGUGCUGGAUGGCUUCAAGAAUCUUCUUCCGCUGGAGGUAGACGAUGACGGGUUCCCUUCCGCAAAUGGUAGGAAAGGAAACGACGAAAAGGUGUCGUUCUGAAGCACAUGCGCGUCGAGAAUCACGAAAGGCUGAUUUGGUUCUUGGUGUUCCGCUGGUAUCAGCAGCAGGCUGGCAAUAAUCUGCAUAAAGAAGACAAGCGGGUGAGCCAUCUGCGUGCAAGCCCUGCU
rnacentral:lncRNA from 1 species